GUGAGGAAUAUUGGUCAAUGGUCGGAAGACUGAACCAGCCAUGCCGCGUGCAGGAAGACGGUCCUAUGGAUUGUAAACUGCUUUUAUUCGGGGAUAAACCUCCUUACGUGUAGGGAGCUGAAGGUACCGAAAGAAUAAGCACCGGCUAACUCCGUGCCAGCAGCCGCGGUAAUACGGAGGGUGCAAGCGUUAUCCGGAAUCAUUGGGUUUAAAGGGUCCGCAGGCGGGAUUGUAAGUCAGUGGUGAAAUCCGGCAGCUCAACUGUCGCACUGCCAUUGAUACUGCAGUCCUUGAAUUCGAUUGGAGUGGGCGGAAUAUGUCAUGUAGCGGUGAAAUGCUUAGAUAUGGCACAGAACACCAAUUGCGAAGGCAGCUCACUAAGGCGAUACUGACGCUGAGGCACGAAAGCGUGGGGAUCGAACAGGAUUAGAAACCCGUGUAGUCC
rnacentral:rRNA from 1 species